AAGUAGCGUGAAGGAUGACUGCCUAUGGGUUGUAAACUUCUUUUAUACGGGAAUAAGUGAGCCACGUGUGGCUUUUUGUAUGUACCGUAUGAAUAAGGAUCGGCUAACUCCGUGCCAGCAGCCGCGGUAAUACGGAGGAUCCGAGCGUUAUCCGGAUUUAUUGGGUUUAAAGGGAGCGUAGGCGGGUUGUUAAGUCAGUUGUGAAAGUUUGCGGCUCAACCGUAAAAUUGCAGUUGAUACUGGCGACCUUGAGUGCAACAGAGGUAGGCGGAAUUCGUGGUGUAGCGGUGAAAUGCUUAGAUAUCACGAAGAACUCCGAUUGCGAAGGCAGCUUACUGGAUUGUAACUGA
rnacentral:rRNA from 1 species